rnacentral:ncRNA from 1 species
UCCAUGGUGACGUGGAAUCUGAAGGAAGCGAGCGGCAAACCUCCGGUCUGAGGAACACGAACUUCAUAUAAGGCUAAGUACAAUUGGGUGAGUUUGCAUAACAAAACAAAACCCUUUCUACCGAAGGUUGUACGGAGUAAAUGAAGCAGAUAGAUGGAGGGAAAGAUUACGUUC